UUAGAUACCCUAUUAUACUAAUACUUACUUAGAUUAUUAUUAGUUAUUUUCUUUAAAUUCGAAGAAUUUGGCGGUGAUUUAGUCUGGUUAGAGGAACCUGUUUUUAAAUCGAUAAACCACGUAAAAUCUUACUCAUUUUAAAAAGUUCAUAUACCGUCAUUAUCAGAUAAUUUUUAAAGGAAUAAUUAUUAAAGUUUAAAGGUUAAGUAAAAUUAGAUCAAGGUGUGGCCAAUAAAUGAGUUAAAAUGGGUUACAAUAAAAUUCAUUUAUAACGGAUUUUUCUAAGAAGGGGAUAAAUAAAGGAGGAUUUAAUUGUAAUUAAAUUUUAAUAAGUUUAAAAGAUAUAAGCUCUAAAUCAUGUACAUAUCGCCCGUCGCU
rnacentral:rRNA from 1 species